UGCUUGGCCAUCUUUUGGGUCUUACCCAAAGUCACAUAUAUGGUUGUUAAUCUGUCUGAAUCUGCAUCCUGGCCACUAUCAGAUGGCUGAGCAUUUUUCCUGGUAUUGGAAAGUGUACGUCGUCUCCCACUGGGCACAGUAAGGGCAGAGAUCAUCAGCACACCCCAGGUCUUGGGUUUCCGACUAGUUCCUGGUAGAUCUUGAGUGGAGCCACGGCGCUCUUUAGGACUGAACUUUGUGCCCUCUGCAAAAGAGACUGAAGGACGUUUGGAUUUGGCAAUGCUGGAGGUACGAGGGAUACCAAAUUCUUGUGACAUGUCCUCACUGCUGAAGGUUGAUGGGUCAAGGAAGAAGUUACACUUAGAGUUCAGCUCCUGAAGCUCUCCACCGGCCACAAAUUCAUGGAGAAACAUCUGAGACAAAGAUACUUCAGUACCUGACACUGAGGCAGACAUUUUUCCCGGUCAGAGAGAGUCUCUGAGCUGAGCAUUGAACACACAUGAGCAUCAGUCCAAAUGAGGUCAGAAAGAUGUCCAUCCCCUCCGGACCGACCAAAACCGGACCCCCUCUCCUGCCACAGCACCAGUACAGGUGAAGAUGAGUGACAGUUGAGGUGGUUCUCAAGAGGAGCUGAGGGUCUGUGUCUCCUCCUGUCCUCCCUGCUCGUCUGGAUCAAUGAUUUCCCAUGUGGAGCUGGAUGUUGGAAGGCUGGGGGGCUGGGAACCAGAG